GCGUCGGGCCGCAGGAGAAGAUGGCGGUCUCGCCAGGAGUUAAAGUUCCUCGUAAUUUUCACUUGUUGGAAGACCCUGAAGAAGGACAGAAAGGAGUAGGCGAUGGUACGGUUAGCUGGGGCCUUGAAGAUGAUGAAGAUAUGACCCUUACAAGGUGGACAGGCAUGAUUACUGGGCCACCAAGGACAAAUUAUGAAAACAGAAUAUAUAGCCUGAAAGUAGAAUGUGGUCCUAAAUACCCAGAAGUUCCUCCAUCAGUUAGAUUUGUAACCAAAAUUAAUAUGAAUGGAAUUAAUAAUUCCAGUGGAAUGGUGGAUGCACGGAGCAUAGCAGUGUUAGCAAAACGGCAAAACUCAUAUAGCAUUAAAGUUGUACUUCAAGAGCUAAGAUGUCUAACGAUGUCCAAAGAAAAUAUGAAGCUUCCACAGCCACCAGAAGGACAAACAUACAACAAUUAAUUUUAGUGGAUCUCAAACUUGUCUUAAAUCAACAGCCCUUCUACUCAUGUUCAUGUCUUGAUUAAAUAUCACAAUGCAAAAUACCCACACAUUAAGUAAAAGAAUUCCAGCUGGUAAACAUGACCUGGACAUUUGUAAGAAUAUAUUGAAUGUAUGUACACCGUUACGUUUUCAGCUUACAGGAGGAAAAAUGCGGCACCAUUUUUUUCUCUUGUUAAGGCACUGUCAUUUAAGCAUAAACCUGGAGUACUCAAAAUAGAAUUCAGGUUUACAAGAUGAAAGCAUGGAGAGAAGAUCGGAACAGCGU